rnacentral:rRNA from 1 species
AUGGGCGCAAGCCUGAUGCAGCCAUGCCGCGUGUGUGAAGAAGGCCUUCGGGUUGUAAAGCACUUUCAGUCGUGAGGAAGGUAGUGUAGUUAAUAGCUGCAUUAUUUGACGUUAGCGACAGAAGAAGCACCGGCUAACUCCGUGCCAGCAGCCGCGGUAAUACGGAGGGUGCGAGCGUUAAUCGGAAUUACUGGGCGUAAAGCGCAUGCAGGUGGUUUGUUAAGUCAGAUGUGAAAGCCCGGGGCUCAACCUCGGAAUAGCAUUUGAAACUGGCAGACUAGAGUACUGUAGAGGGGGGUAGAAUUUCAGGUGUAGCGGUGAAAUGCGUAGAGAUCUGAAGGAAUACCAGUGGCGAAGGCGGCCCCCUGGACAGAUACUGACACUCAGAUGCGAAAGCGUGGGGAGCAAACAGGAUUAGAUACCCUGGUAGUCCACGCCGUAAACGAUGUCUACUUGGAGGUUGUGGCCUUGAGCCGUGGCUUUCGGAGCUAACGCGUUAAGUAGACCGCCUGGGGAG